rnacentral:rRNA from 1 species
CACUCCUGCGGGAGGCAGCAGUGGGGAAUAUUGCACAAUGGGCGCAAGCCUGAUGCAGCCAUGCCGCGUGUAUGAAGAAGGCCUUCGGGUUGUAAAGUACUUUCAGCGGGGAGGAAGGCGAUAAGGUUAAUAACCUUGUCGAUUGACGUUACCCGCAGAAGAAGCACCGGCUAACUCCGUGCCAGCAGCCGCGGUAAUACGGAGGGUGCAAGCGUUAAUCGGAAUUACUGGGCGUAAAGCGCACGCAGGCGGUCUGUCAAGUCGGAUGUGAAAUCCCCGGGCUCAACCUGGGAACUGCAUUCGAAACUGGCAGGCUAGAGUCUUGUAGAGGGGGGUAGAAUUCUAGGUGUAGCGGUGAAAUGCGUAGAGAUCUGGAGGAAUACCGGUGGCGAAGGCGGCCCCCUGGACAAAGACUGACGCUCAGGUGCGAAAGCGUGGGGAGCAAACAGGAUUAGAAACCCCAGUAGUCCC